UCAGACUAUCCCACCGAAAAUCUAACAUAUGACAGACAGAGAGUAUUGAUUAGCAUGGCCCCUGCGCCAGGAUUACAAACAAAAACAUGAAGCGUUUCAUAUUUUU
rnacentral:snRNA from 1 species